rnacentral:rRNA from 1 species
UUAAGCGACUAAGCGUACACGGUGGAUGCCCUGGCAGUCAGAGGCGAUGAAGGACGUGCUAAUCUGCGAUAAGCGCCGGUAAGGUGAUAUGAACCGUUAUAACCGGCGAUUUCCGAAUGGGGAAACCCAGUGUGACUCGUCACACUAUCAUUAACUGAAUCCAUAGGUUAAUGAGGCGAACCGGGGGAACUGAAACAUCUAAGUACCCCGAGGAAAAGAAAUCAACCGAGAUUCCCCCAGUAGCGGCGAGCGAACGGGGAGGAGCCCAGAGCCUGAAUCAGCAUGUGUGUUAGUGGAAGCGUCUGGAAAGGCGCGCGAUACAGGGUGACAGCCCCGUACACAAAAGCGCAUGUGCUGUGAGCUCGAUGAGUAGGGCGGGACACGUGGUAUCCUGUCUGAAUAUGGGGGGACCAUCCUCCAAGGCUAAAUACUCCUGACUGACCGAUAGUGAACCAGUACCGUGAGGGAAAGGCGAAAAGAACCCCGGCGAGGGGAGUGAAAAAGAACCUGAAACCGUGUACGUACAAGCAGUGGGAGCCCCACCACUAAGCCAGUGGUGAACUCCACAUACGCAUCCUUUGCUGAGGAUACGGUUAACGGAGCGCAAGCGACGUUCAACCGCAAAAGAAGCAGAGGGGGCUUAGUGGUGGGGUGACUGCGUACCUUUUGUAUAAUGGGUCAGCGACUUAUAUUCUGUAGCAAGGUUAACCGAAUAGGGGAGCCGGAGGGAAACCGAGUCUUAAUUGGGCGUUAAGUUGCAGGGUAUAGACCCGAAACCCGGUGAUCUAGCCAUGGGCAGGUUGAAGGUUGGGUAACACUAACUGGAGGACCGAACCGACUAAUGUUGAAAAAUUAGCGGAUGACCUGUGGCUGGGGGUGAAAGGCCAAUCAAACCGGGAGAUAGCUGGUUCUCCCCGAAAGCUAUUUAGGUAGCGCCUCGUGAAUUCAUCUCCGGGGGUAGAGCACUGUUUCGGCUAGGGGGCCAUCCCGGCUUACCAACCCGAUGCAAACUGCGAAUACCGGAGAAUGUUAUCACGGGAGACACACGGCGGGUGCUAACGUCCGUCGUGAAGAGGGAAACAACCCAGACCGCCAGCUAAGGUCCCAAAGUCAUGGUUAAGUGGGAAACGAUGUGGGAAGGCCCAGACAGCCAGGAUGUUGGCUUAGAAGCAGCCAUCAUUUAAAGAAAGCGUAAUAGCUCACUGGUCGAGUCGGCCUGCGCGGAAGAUGUAACGGGGCUAAACCAUGCACCGAAGCUGCGGCAGCGACACUAUGUGUUGUUGGGUAGGGGAGCGUUCUGUAAGCCUGUGAAGGUGGCCUGUGAGGGUUGCUGGAGGUAUCAGAAGUGCGAAUGCUGACAUAAGUAACGAUAAAGCGGGUGAAAAGCCCGCUCGCCGGAAGACCAAGGGUUCCUGUCCAACGUUAAUCGGGGCAGGGUGAGUCGACCCCUAAGGCGAGGCCGAAAGGCGUAGUCGAUGGGAAACGGGUUAAUAUUCCCGUACUUGGUGUUACUGCGAAGGGGGGACGGAGAAGGCUAUGUUGGCCGGGCGACGGUUGUCCCGGUUUAAGCGUGUAGGUGUGUGUUCCAGGUAAAUCCGGUUCACUUUAACACUGAGGCGUGACGACGAGGCACUACGGUGCUGAAGCAACAAAUGCCCUGCUUCCAGGAAAAGCCUCUAAGCAUCAGGUAACAUCAAAUCGUACCCCAAACCGACACAGGUGGUCAGGUAGAGAAUACCAAGGCGCUUGAGAGAACUCGGGUGAAGGAACUAGGCAAAAUGGUGCCGUAACUUCGGGAGAAGGCACGCUGACACGUAGGUGAAGUGAUUUACUCAUGGAGCUGAAGUCAGUCGAAGAUACCAGCUGGCUGCAACUGUUUAUUAAAAACACAGCACUGUGCAAACACGAAAGUGGACGUAUACGGUGUGACGCCUGCCCGGUGCCGGAAGGUUAAUUGAUGGGGUCAGCGCAAGCGAAGCUCCUGAUCGAAGCCCCGGUAAACGGCGGCCGUAACUAUAACGGUCCUAAGGUAGCGAAAUUCCUUGUCGGGUAAGUUCCGACCUGCACGAAUGGCGUAAUGAUGGCCAGGCUGUCUCCACCCGAGACUCAGUGAAAUUGAACUCGCUGUGAAGAUGCAGUGUACCCGCGGCAAGACGGAAAGACCCCGUGAACCUUUACUAUAGCUUGACACUGAACAUUGAGCCUUGAUGUGUAGGAUAGGUGGGAGGCUUUGAAGUGUGGACGCCAGUCUGCAUGGAGCCGACCUUGAAAUACCACCCUUUAAUGUUUGAUGUUCUAACGUGGACCCGUGAUCCGGGUUGCGGACAGUGUCUGGUGGGUAGUUUGACUGGGGCGGUCUCCUCCUAAAGAGUAACGGAGGAGCACGAAGGUUGGCUAAUCCUGGUCGGACAUCAGGAGGUUAGUGCAAUGGCAUAAGCCAGCUUGACUGCGAGCGUGACGGCGCGAGCAGGUGCGAAAGCAGGUCAUAGUGAUCCGGUGGUUCUGAAUGGAAGGGCCAUCGCUCAACGGAUAAAAGGUACUCCGGGGAUAACAGGCUGAUACCGCCCAAGAGUUCAUAUCGACGGCGGUGUUUGGCACCUCGAUGUCGGCUCAUCACAUCCUGGGGCUGAAGUAGGUCCCAAGGGUAUGGCUGUUCGCCAUUUAAAGUGGUACGCGAGCUGGGUUUAGAACGUCGUGAGACAGUUCGGUCCCUAUCUGCCGUGGGCGCUGGAGAACUGAGGGGGGCUGCUCCUAGUACGAGAGGACCGGAGUGGACGCAUCACUGGUGUUCGGGUUGUCAUGCCAAUGGCACUGCCCGGUAGCUAAAUGCGGAAGAGAUAAGUGCUGAAAGCAUCUAAGCACGAAACUUGCCCCGAGAUGAGUUCUCCCUGAGACUUAGAGUCUCCUGAAGGAACGUUGAAGACGACGACGUUGAUAGGCCGGGUGUGUAAGCGCAGCGAUGCGUUGAGCUAACCGGUACUAAUGAACCGUGAGGCUUAACCUU